rnacentral:rRNA from 1 species
CCUACGGGUGGCAGCAGUAGGGAAUCUUUCACAAUGGGCGAAAGCCUGAUGGAGCAACGCCGCGUGCAGGAUGAAGGCCUUCGGGUUGUAAACUGCUUUUAUAAGCGAGAAAUAUGAUGGUAACUUAUGAAUACUGAUCGGCUAACUACGUUCCAGCAGCCGCGGUCAUACGUAGGAUCCGAGCAUUAUCCGGAGUGACUGGGUGUAAAGAGUUGCGUAGGUGGCAUAAUAAGUAGCUAGUGAAAUCGGGUGGCUCAACCAUUCAGACUAUUAGCUAAACUGUUAAGCUCGAGACCGUUAGGGGUAACUGGAAUUUCUGGUGUAGGAGUGAAAUCCGUAGAUAUUAGAAGGAACACCAAUAGCGUAGGCAGGUUACUGGGACGGUUCUGACACUAAGGCACGAAAGCGUAGGGAGCAAACGGGAUUAGAUACCCCAGUAGUC